rnacentral:rRNA from 1 species
UGAGGAAUAUUGGUCAAUGGGCGAGAGCCUGAACCAGCCAAGUAGCGUGAAGGAUGAAGGUCCUACGGAUUGUAAACUUCUUUUAUACGGGAAUAAAGUUUCCUACGUGUAGGAUUUUGUAUGUACCGUAUGAAUAAGCAUCGGCUAACUCCGUGCCAGCAGCCGCGGUAAUACGGAGGAUGCGAGCGUUAUCCGGAUUUAUUGGGUUUAAAGGGAGCGCAGACGGGAGAUUAAGUCAGUUGUGAAAGUUUGCGGCUCAACCGUAAAAUUGCAGUUGAUACUGGUUUCCUUGAGUGCAGUUGAGGCAGGCGGAAUUCGUGGUGUAGCGGUGAAAUGCUUAGAUAUCACGAAGAACCCCGAUUGCGAAGGCAGCUUGCUAAACUGUAACUGACGUUCAUGCUCGAAAGUGUGGGUAUCAAACAG